GCCUGGAUAGCUCAGUUGGUUAGAGCAUGGGGCUGAUAAUGCCAAGGUUGUAAGUUCGAUCCCCUUCCACCCUUUCUAAGGC